rnacentral:rRNA from 1 species
CAAUAGCGUAUAUUAAAGUUGUUGCGGUUAAAAGCUCGUAGUUGGAUUUCUGUCGAGGGCGGCCGGUCCUUACUAUGUAAGUGCAUCUGGUUCGGUCUUGGCAUCCUCUUGGGGAUCGUUUCUGUGCUUAGUUGCAUGGUGCGGAAUUCAAGACGUUUACUUUGAGGAAAUUAGAGUGGUUACGGCAAGCUAUCGCUUUGAAUACAUUAGCAUGGAAUAAUAAUAUAGGGCGUAAGUUCUAUCUUGUUGGUUUCUAGAACAUACGCAAUGAUUAAUAGGGACAAUUGGGGGCAUUCGUAUUAACGCGUCAGAGGUGGAAUUCUUAGAUUGCGUUACGACGAACUACUGCGAAAGCAUUUGCCAAGGAUGUUUUCAUUGAUCAAGAACGAAAGUAUGGGGAUCGAAGAUGAUCAGAUACC